GCCACUUUAGCUCAGUUGGUAGAGCGACGCAUUCGUAAUGCGUAGGUCAACGGUUCAAGUCCGCUAAGUGGCU
rnacentral:tRNA from 1 species